GUUUAAAGGGUACCUAAAUAGUAUUAUUAGCCUAAAAAAGGGUAUAAUUAUACUAGAGUUUUAUAAGAGAAAGAAGUAUUUAUAGUAGAGAGUUUAUAUUUAAUUAUACCUUAGAGACUAGUAAAGGCAAAAUCAACCUUCUAUCUAAUAACUAAUGUUAAGGUAUAAAGGCCUAGGUAGUAAAUAGGAUUAGAUACCCUAGUAGUCUAAGUAGAGAAUUAUAAAUGCUAUAUAAUUUUAGCAUAUAAAUACAAGUAUAAGCAUUUUAC
rnacentral:ncRNA from 1 species